rnacentral:rRNA from 1 species
AUGUGAUCGUCUCUCGCAUAUCAAUAAGCGGAGGAAAAGAAACUAACAAGGAUUCCCCUAGUAACGGCGAGUGAAGCGGGAAGAGCUCAAAUUUGAAAUCUUAAAGGGUUUCCCUUUACGAAUUGUAGUUUAAAGAAGUGUUUUCUGUUGAGGUUUUGGUAAAAGUUCUUUGGAAUAGGACAUCAUAGAGGGUGAGAAUCCCGUAUUUGACCUUUACUUUCAACUUUGUGAUACACUUUCAAAGAGUCGGAUUGUUUGGGAAUGCAGUCCAAAAUGGGUGGUAAAUUUCAUCUAAAGCUAAAUAUUGGCGAGAGACCGAUAGCGAACAAGUACCGUGAGGGAAAGAUGAAAAGAACUUUGAAAAGAGAGUUAAACAGUACGUGAAAUUGUCAAAAGGGAAGCGUUUGACACCAGUGUUGUUUUUCUGAAAAUCAAUUAAAGAACUGUUUAUGCUAAGUUGUUUAGACUUUAUCAGCUAUCUGUUUAGUUUUGAGCUUUUCUUUAAUGCACUUUUCAGUUAACAAGUCAACAUCAAUUUCUUUUGCUGUAAAAAAGCUUGAGGAAGGUGGCUUGAGAUUCGUCUUAAGUGUUUAUAGCCUCUUGCCUAUGCAGUCGGAGAGAUUGAGGUCUGCAGCGUAGAUCCUUCGGGGCUAAAUGCAUUUGUGCUAAGUUAUAGCAUUUUAUAGACAACUUGUUGACUAUGAUUUGUCUUGUAGCUUACUCGCUUAUGUUAUUUUACCUACGCUUAGGAUGUUGAGUAGCGACAUACGCAC